GGAGGCCCACUGCCUGCUGUUGACUCUGGUGGCCAUCUGUGCCCAUCGUCGUUGUUUGGGAGAUUUGGCUGGUCAUCCCUGGCCCAGGUUUCUUCUCCGUGCCACCACCCUCACCUCAGUAAUUCCCCUGGAGACUUCUAGAGCUUCCAAAAGUUGAAAGGGACCUCAGAGUUCAUUUUGUCUAAAUCUCUGCCUCCAGCUGCCUCGCUCAGAUCCUUCUACUCUGCUGCCAAGGUUACCUUUCAGAACCAACUUUAGAUCCCUCUACAAUCUUCCAUGGCUCCUCAUUGCCCUUAGAAGUAAGUUUGAGCCCCUUGGCUGAGCCCCCCGAGGCCUGCUAUGAUGGAUCCUUCAACUCUUCCAGGCCUCAUCUAGUGCCCCCGACCCUGUUACCUCAUAUUCCAGCCACACAGAACGGUUGGCAGCCUCCUGAUCCUCAAGGAGGGGGCGGCCCUGUUAAUAUUUUCAUGUCACCACAGAGGAAUUCAAGGCCCAGGGAGACCUGACAAGGCUCAGAGGGGAAUCCAGUGGAAAAUCUGUCCCUUGCCUCUUCUGGCUUCUGGUGGCUGCUGGCCUUCCUUGGCUUGUGGCUGACUCACUCUUCACUGCAAACGUCAAGACCAGCAUCUUCACCUUUCACUCUGCUCCACGUUCACGUGGUCUUCUCCUCUUCCAUUUGAUUGAUGCAGGGAAGUUACGCCAUGGACCAAGGUCAUCGUCAGCGAGAGAGCUGGAAUUCGAACUGAAGCCUCGGAAAUUCAAACCUGUGUUCUCUGUUCCAGCUCAGCCAGAGCCUGCCUGAACAGGGCCUGCCUCCUGGGGCCUCUGUGGCCUCUUUUGGGGAGCCCUCUGGAGCCAGCCUGUGGCUGCCCCUGGCUCAUGUCCAGCCAAUGAGUCAAGGGCUUGAGACUCAGGCUGGACUGUGGUGUCUAAAUAAAGGACGUCCUUGAGAUUAGAGCA
rnacentral:lncRNA from 13 species